UGCCCACGGGCUCAAAUGUUUAUCCGUGGUUCGGUUUUCAUUUCUUCAUUUCCUAGUCGAACAGAGCUUCCAUCUAGCAUUGUUGCAGGCGAUACUAUUAGCUUCCAAAAUCAAUUGAUUUUUUCAGUGUUUUUCAUUUAAGUGAAGUUCUUAGAAUCUAUUCUAGAUCAAUUAGUUUCACUUUAAUUAUUGAAGGUUGGUUGAUUCGUUCUUCGUGAUUAUAACGAUUUGGAGGGAUAUUUUGUUAAUUUGCAUCGGAUUUUUGCAUCCUAUUUCUUAAAAUGUGACAGAGAUGAUGAACUUCAGUUGCAGUGCGAUCCCUCCAUCAACACCUCACAUGCAUGUCCACAAAGUAGUAUUGUGGUUGAUCUUAGGGUACUGUUUCAGUUCGGAACGGAGGAGAGGGUAACUCGGAUAAAGGUUUUCUUGUUGGUUGAUAUUAUAUGUUGGUGCAUUAUUAAAUUCCAGAAUGUUUGGACAAACUUUAACGAACAUUAAUUCAAUUACAUCACACUUGAAAUGCAAAUAUGAUGCAGAAUAAUGUUGAUUAUGUGGUAUACAUAAAUACAGUUCAAGAGUUUAAUAGGAGUGAUUCUGGAGCUAGUCUCGAUGAGGUUGUAUCAUGGGUAAAAGUAUGAGCAUUUGAUAAGACGGCUAAAGUGCUAACUCUGGUGAAUAAAGGAGGACUUCUAGUAUUUAUACAAUGUCGGUAGAUAUGAAAAAAGAUGUAUAUGUAUAUUGAAGCCUAGAACUCAACAACAAAAGAGGUAGUGAAAAAGGAAACAUGCAAGAAUAGACGUCCAGGUGGUGAAAACACAAUCAACUUUCUGCAGCUCUGAAAAAUUGAAAUUUGAUAAGAAACUCAUGAUGGAGAACGUGUGAAAGAUAGUUACUGAAGCAAAUUGUUACCAAUCAUAUCUUAUCGCCCCUGAACAAGUAUAUCGAUGUCUCAUUGAAUUUUCGUUAAUUGUUAUUAGAGGUCAUGCAAAGGUAGCAGUUGAUGCAGUAUGCAUUACAUUAACUCCCUGCCUAUAUUCCUGUCAAAUAUAGUUGUACACACUAGUGUAAAUUAACAUUUUUAAAAAAUGAGAAUUAUAUAGUCA